UCGUCCCUUACCCUUUCAGAGAAUUAGGGUUUUCCUCCAUAACAGGUUUCGCACCUCCAGCUUCAAUGGCUCCACCUUUAUGGAUGGAUCUAUGUUGCUCGUACUCUCCAAAAAUGUGGCAUAAGGCGUGUCGGAUCUUCCAAAAGUAGUGCAAUGUUGAAGGAUCCAACACUUGCUGCUAUAUUUUGGAGAUCCUACGCAACAUAGGGACGGAGGUAGAUGAUUUAUUUGGUUAAUUCUGGUAUAUUGUAUUUGUGAUAAUUGGAUUGUGCUUAUGGACGGUCAAGUGCUGUUUAGAUGAUAUAACAACAGUACUUAACAAAAAUACAUAAGCUACAUUGAAAAGCCACUAUGUUCAUUUUCAUGUCUUUCCGUGAGUAUCAUUUGGGAAGGCUAUCUCAUUGUGGCUGAAAUGUAUUGCCAAAAAAACAUUGAUCUUGUUGAAAGAUAGUUUGAUAAAUUUUUUUGUGACAGUUAUUUUAGUUUGUCUAAAAAGUAAUAACAUUUUUAUAUUAAAAAUUUCUGUUUUACAGAAGGCUUCCAUUCAUUUCUUAGAGGAAAUGAGUCAUCAUGGUCGUUUACGAUCUUGAAAUUAAGAAAAUGUAAUUUUUUAGAUCUCUUAUGUGUCCGUGUACACUCUACGUCUCUGGGCUAAGGGCGGGCUAGGGGUAAUGUCGUAUAUAUUCUAUCUUAUACAAACUCCAUUAGUGGGAUCUUAUUGGAUUGUUGUUUCAUGUGUAAAGAUCUCUCAUGUGUAAAAAGACAUCAUUUUGACGUACUUUUAUGUAAAAUGAAGUGAACAGAGUAACCUUUAUACAAAGUAGCUGUGUAAAUACAAGACAUCAUUGGAUCCAAUAUAAUUUGAUUGUAUAUCUGAUAUUGGUUUUUUAUUUGUGAUGAUUUACGUUUGAAUUGGGGCAAGUGUUUGCACUACUUGUAUGACUCAAUUGAAAAAAUCAUCAUAGAGCAAGCCUCUUUUGUUUAUGUAUGGCAGUUGAGACUUUUCUCUCAUUUAUGGGAGGAGAGAAUCCUGCUAUAUGUCUGAAGGGUGCGAUGUCAUAUCCUAUCGCCUUAUGUAGCAGAGUCUCUGCAAUUACCAUUUGGGAUUGGCCAUGAGAUAUACAUUU